CUCCCCUCUGAUGUCACACGCCUCACCUGUGAUGUCUCACGCCUCACCUGUGAUGUCACACGCCUCACAUGCUCCUGCUGAAGCCAUUGUGAUGGAUGAAGAUGAAGAGCUGGAGAGGAUGAUGCUGAGCAUCUCUCCUUCAAAGCAACAUGUGCAGAGCUCUGUUUCUGCAUCUUCGUCAUCCUCCUCAUCUGCCAGACGACGAGAAAGAGGUCUUUAACCCAGAGCACCGUGCUGCCGACCGACACAACUGGGAC